rnacentral:snRNA from 1 species
AAGUAUACCCUCCUCUUGACAGUUGGAAUGAUACAGAGAAGAUUAGCAUGGGCCCUGCACAAGGAUGAUCAUUCAGUGAAAUAAAGGACUUUCAA